UAUGAAGUAAGAGUGAGAGAAAUAUUAAAGGACAGAGAGAGAGUGGGAGGGAGAGAGAGAGAGAAAGAGCUGAACUGGGUCACUGACUGGCCUCAGAGAAGAGGUGCAAAUCAGCCUGUGGGUAGUUCCAGAGAACGGCAUCUUCUAUCUACAAAUGUCGUAGCAAGGAGCCUGAAUGUCUCAUAGUCACAUAGAAUCUUCAGAAACACCCCACCUCAACACACUUGCACAGACGGAAGAUUACAUCUGCAUGGUCUCCGUCCGCAAAGAGUCACUUUAGCCUAGUUCUUUUUACAAAACAAUCCUAAUUAACAUGUCCUGAAAACAACAACAAAGCCUUGUCAGAAAACAGGGUUGUCAGUCAGAAACAGAUGUAGGUGUAAUUGCAGUAAGAGCACAGAUGGGUGAGGAGAGGUGUUGUUAUCUGCAAUUAGUUUUUAGGCAAAUGGAAACAUCCCCAUUAAAAACACUUUAUGUGCAUA